AUAAUGAUACUUCUCUACGGAGCCGGUGGCGAACCCAGCGGGGGUGAAAUUCCCAUGA
ncrna:unclassified sequences pemK RNA